CCAGACUCCUACGGGAGGCAGCAGUGAGGAAUAUUGGUCAAUGGGCGCGAGCCUGAACCAGCCAAGUCGCGUGAGGGAAGACGGUCCUAUGGGUUGUAAACCUCUUUUGUCAGGGAGCAACGCCGGCUACGUGUAGCCGGACUGAGAGUACCUGAAGAAAAAGCAUCGGCUAACUCCGUGCCAGCAGCCGCGGUAAUACGGAGGAUGCGAGCGUUAUCCGGAUUUAUUGGGUUUAAAGGGUGCGCAGGCGGAUUUUUAAGUCAGCGGUCAAAUCGUGGGGCUCAACCCCAUCCAGCCGUUGAAACUGGGGAUCUAGAGUGUGCGAGAGGUAUGCGGAAUGCGUGGUGUAGCGGUGAAAUGCAUAGAUAUCGCGCAGAACUCCGAUUGCGAAGGCAGCAUGCCGGCUCCACACUGACGCUGAGGCACGAAAGCGUGGGUAUCGAACAGGAUUAGAUACCCGAGUA
rnacentral:rRNA from 1 species